rnacentral:lncRNA from 1 species
CAAAAUGUAUGUUUAUGAAUAGUCUAUUUUCCAUGAUUAUAUAAAUCAUUCUUUUAUAUUUGUGUCAGUUAGAGAUCACGCUGAAUUUUUGUUUUUUUUCCACGUGAUUUUCAAUCGGUAGUAAGUUAGUUAAGAUCAUUUAAGUAAGAGGGUGCUACCAACUUAAGACAAAAAGGGAGAGAAAAAAGGGGGAAGACCAUUUUAUUAUCAGAUAAGCUGAUCUGAUAUGUCCGUCGAACCAGAAUACAAACAAGCAAAUUAAAAACUUUACCAAC